rnacentral:lncRNA from 1 species
GUGAGUGUUAGAAUGACUGAAUCUGGGGUGACCUGUCUUUAAACAUGCUGAGAUGGGGUAACAGGAGGUGCUAAAUGGUACCUAAUGUGCUAGAUGGAGGAUGAGGAUACCUCUGAAUAUCCUACAACACACAGGAGAGCCUCCUCCUUUAAGGAAAACCAUCCAGUCUGAAAUGUUAACAGUGCCAAGUUGGAGAAAAUUUCGCUUCCGUGGAGACUUCUAUAGAAAUUUGCAGUGAUUCCUCCAAGGACUCUCCAAGGCUGCAGGUAUAUACAUUUAUAUUUAUUUCUUUAUCUCGAAUUCCUCACAUUGCCAAGACCAAAGAGGUUCACAGUCUUCUUGCACUCAGUAUGAACUCAAUAUCUGUUUGCUGUUAAAUGCACACACAUGAAUUUGUCCUGUGUUUUAG